GACCUAAUGGUUCCAGUGGUUAGACGUUUAUUGCGAGAACUGAAGGCCCUGGGUUCAAUCCCUGGCAAGGUC
rnacentral:tRNA from 1 species